UACGUAGGGUGCAAGCGUUGUCCGGAAUUAUUGGGCGUAAAGAGCUCGUAGGCGGUCUGUCGCGUCGGAUGUGAAAAUCUAGGGCUCAACCCUGGACCUGCAUUCGAUACGGGCAGACUAGAGUUCGGUAGGGGAGACUGGAAUUCCUGGUGUAGCGGUGAAAUGCGCAGAUAUCAGGAGGAACACCGGUGGCGAAGGCGGGUCUCUGGGCCGAAACUGACGCUGAGGAGCGAAAGCGUGGGGAGCAAACAGG
rnacentral:rRNA from 1 species